rnacentral:rRNA from 1 species
UACGUAGGGUGCAAGCGUUAUCCGGAAUUAUUGGGCGUAAAGAGCUUGUAGGCGGUUUGUCGCGUCUGCUGUGAAAAUCCGGGGCUCAACCCCGGACUUGCAGUGGGUACGGGCAGACUAGAGUGUGGUAGGGGGAGACUGGAAUUCCUGGUGUAGCGGUGGAAUGCGCAGAUAUCAGGAGGAACACCGGUGGCGAAGGCGGG